GCCGGAGUAGCUCAGCUGGUAGAGCAAGCCCCUUGUAAGGGCUAGGCCGUCGGUUCGAGUCCGACCUCCGGCU
rnacentral:tRNA from 1 species